CGCUGGCGGCGUGCUUAACACAUGCAAUUCGAACGGGAUCCAUCAAGCUUGCUUGGUGGUGAGAGUGGCGAACGGGUGAGUAAUGCGUGACCGACCUGCCCCAUACACCGGAAUAGCUCCUGGAAACGGGUGGUAAUGCCGGAUGCUCCAGUUGAUCGCAUGGUCUUCUGGGAAAGCUUUCGCGGUAUGGGAUGGGGUCGCGUCCUAUCAGCUUGACGGCGGGGUAACGGCCCACCGUGGCUUCGACGGGUAGCCGGCCUGAGAGGGCGACCGGCCACAUUGGGACUGAGAUACGGCCCAGACUCCUACGGGAGGCAGCAGUGGGGAAUAUUGCACAAUGGGCGCAAGCCUGAUGCAGCGACGCCGCGUGAGGGAUGGAGGCCUUCGGGUNGUAAACCUCUUUAUCGGGGAGCAAGCGAGAGGA
rnacentral:rRNA from 1 species